GAGAGAGGAAGGGCAGCUGCCGGUCUUCUCCUUAUCUUUGAACGAAGGCUGAGGAAAGUCCCCCCACCAUAAAAAACACGAAUGCCGAGAGGGCAUAAGGCGAGAGUCUUGGCUCUGGUAUAGAAACGAUACCGCACCAUACCUAUGCGAUGAUUCCGGGAGGAUGAGGUCGUAUGGCUGCGGAUGGAACGACCAACCUCGUGGGUGCAAGCCCGUAUCGUAUAGGGCGCAUAGAUAAAUGCUGCGGAAACAGAAGGGGGCUUACUCUCCUCACUC
rnacentral:RNase_P_RNA from 1 species